GCGUGGGCGUGCGAUAAAAUAACUAAAAGGAAACCGCUCUGUCAUUGAGACUCAAUCCCGUGAUUCAUUCGCCCGACUCCCCAUCCUCGCCCACCUGAAGCCGGCCGCGCCGCCGCCGCAACUGCCCGCAGCUCGCCACGCCAACGCGCCUGCACCUACACGGAGCUGACCAUGACGCCGGCCAUGCCCAACCGGCUGCACCGACGGUGCCCGUGCCGCAGCCCACGACCGCCCGCCGCCGCAGCAGUGUCUUCCUCUACCUUGCGACAAUCUAUCCGUCAGUCCGCUCUUUCCCUUGCGAUACUGCAAGCGGUAACUCCCAGCCUCCCAGCCCAUCUCCGUGCUCCCUCGUGCAUGGUCUUCCCCUCCCCCUCUCCCACACGGGUGACCUGCAGACUCCUCUCAUCUCUCCCACGAAUGAACCCUAGGGUAGGGUGCCAAGCAAGGCGUCGUGCAGAGUGCUCUUCAGCCGUGGCAGCGGCGGCCAUGGCGGCCCAUCGCAGCGAGUCUUCAUCUUCGCCAACUCCACAGGUUUAGGUUGAAGGUGAGGGGGUCACGCAGCGAUGUUGUGCACGCAAGGUGGUGGUGCGACGGGAGCGUCGUCGUCCUGCCAAAUCUAAUCAAUAUCGAAGGCCAUGGUGACUUGAGGGGUGGGGCACUGUGCUAAGACGUUCUGAUUGGAAUUGCCACAAAUCAGAUAGUAGUUGGCUGGCGGCAAAAGCUAUGGUAGUGGUGAGGCCAACAGCAGGGGGCAACAAGUACAUCUGCUACACCACGAUGGUCAGGGACGUGCGGGAGGGAGUGCGACUGGUACGCACGAACAGUCCACAUGGAGACUGCAGGGCGGAUCAGCAUAGGCCUCCUGGAGGCCAGGAAGGAGCAGGCCACACUAGGAGAGCAGGCUGCUGGUUGCAUAAUUCUUGUCUUUGUGUUCCUGAUUCCUAAUUCCUAAAGUGUGAAGAACCAGAGCGCAACUCUGGAGAAUUUGUGCUGUGUAUGGUGCUCAGUGAUGCCUAUUUGCCUGCAAUUUGGCAUUGUACGUUAUUUAAUCAGGUUUCUAGAAAAUGCAUUAAUCAGGUUUCACUAGAACUGGAUGGUGUUCAGGAGGUAGUAAAACUGAAGAUAUUCCACCUCAAUGAAGAGUUGAUGCUUUUCUUUGCAAAGCAAAUUUAAAAACAUGUGUUAUAAGGUUGGAGAAAACUUAAUUUUGUGGUUUUCUAAGAAGAUAGCUUUCCUUGAGAUAUGUUUUGAAGCUUACCCCAGAAAAUCUCCGCUGAAAUGGCAUUAUCUACUCUGAUUGUGAGUUUAGUUCAUGUGUAUUAACAUCUGCUUCUAUUUUCAUUAUAAUCCAUUUAUCUGAACAAUGUUUGAGGUGAGGGCACUGUUACUCAUCUUAUUCAAUAGCUUUGCAUGAUUGAUGGCUUCCAAUGAUCCUUUCAUUUUUCUAUCUAUGUUUAUUCAGACUAUUUUAUAGUCAUACCGGUAGAUAAUGGAUAAAAAAUUUAGACAUCCAUAAUUUAUCUCUUUGACUCUGAGUAUGAGUUUUAUUUUAAUUAACAUGUUACCCUUUUGUUUUUACCGUAGCAUUAGCACGAGAUUUUGUUGGCAGCAACAGUGAUAAAUCGGGAACAUCUAAGGUAACAUAGACAUAAAAAAAUGAAGGAACACCUUAGUUCACCACAGAGCAAAAGCGUUGGAGAGUCGGGCAACAACAUGAUGUCAACCUUGUGUGAUGCCAUCCUCCGACAUGGCUCGUGCAUGGUCAUGUGAUCUGGUAUCAUCAGCACCUUGGACAACCUCGGCCUCGGACAAGCCUCGUGCACGGUCGUGUGAUCCGGUUCCUUCAGCAAAGACUAAGCAGGUACAUUGGAAAUGCUCUAAAGGCACCAGGAGGGCCCAUGAUGGUAGGUGGCGCACAUAGCUGUCCGUGCUCUGAAGGCGUAGCUGUAGGCUGCGGACAGCUCCUACGCAUGCGGUGUGGGCACAGGCGCACAACGGCAGGAUGCGGUGGGACGGCAACCUGCAACUGUGAGCGAUGGGUCCCAUAGCAUCCCCGCCGUCAUCCCCUAUAUGGCGGUGACUGGCGAGCAGACUUGACUCCAGCACCCUCCACAUUAUGAGAAGCUGCUUACCGUCAUGUUGGCACAGUGGUCUCUUGGUUGCCAAUGGUCUCAAACAUUGUAUGGUUCCAUUAUGUUAAGACUCAAAAUGAAACUUGUAUGCACUAUUGAUUUUUCUGUGUGAUUGCUUCCACAAAAGCUAGCGUAUUCAACUAUAGUUCUGGUUAUUCUUUUUACUGCAGUUAGAACUAACAACUACACUUGUGGCCAUUUAAGAUUAAAGAGGUUCUGCUAAUCAAGGCAUCAACAUGUCACGGAUCGUCAUGGACGGAGCAAUUUUGUACACUUUUACUUCACUGAUUUCCUAGCACUCUGGGAUCCACAGAGAAGCACAACUCAUAGAAGCCUCCCGUGCAUGAUGAAGCUGACGUUGCUCCUGCCCCACCGGGCCACGACCUCAUGUUCCACCCCUGCGUCCACUUUCAUGUCGACGUCAUCACUGUCCAUGCCGAGUCCUUGGCCACUGGACACUAAGAAAGUCAACAUCAAGGUUGAAAUCACCUCGACAACGGUUUUCUCUCAUCUCCCGACCUUAGCUUGAUAAUGAUGACUUCUCUGUCCAUGUGGUUUUUUUUUAUAAAGGAACAUAUGCCUCCGAGUACAACGUGUGCAGAUUGGAACUCAAGGUGGAGAGUUCUGAUUGGUUGGAUUUAUAUUAGAGUAUUUUCAAUAUGAUGUUAACAAAUUAUGAGUUUGUUUACUUGUGUAUGCUUUAAUAUAUAUAACGUAUCUAGCACCAACAUAUAGUAAUUAUGAUCCAUGGUUGUAGCUCUUAGGUAAUGGCACUUCUGAUCCUUUUGUUGCAAAUGUGUUCACUUCAUUUGAUUCUCUUUUUGUUUAUCGAUGUUGAGAGCUUCAUAGUUUAGAUAUCAAAUAAAAAAUUUACAUGUCGGCAAAGAACUAUAUGGAUGCAAUGUUAUCUCGUCAUGUAGGCAAAAGACAAGGCAUGUUUGUUUUGGGGGUGGUUCAGUGCUCCACUGCUACUGGAAUGAGUGGAUAACAUAUUGUUUGAUAACAUAUUGUUAGAUUAUACUAGAGUAGCUUUUGUUGCUUCUAUAAUCUUUCUAUCUCUAUACUACUAUCAAGAAUAGAAUGGUGAACCCCUAUAUAGUUUGUAGGGUGUAGGAUGGUGGAUGACAUGGAGACGGUAAAGGGCUUAAGGCCGUUGCGUUUGCAUGGUUGAAACCACGCAAUGUUGUCCACGCACGAUCCCCACCACCGCUAAAUCUAUCUAAGGAAUGGUUGAGUGGAGCCUAUGUUGGCAUGCAGGGUCUUGGGGAGAACGAUUGUGCAAGGGAGAGAGAAAGUGUGUUGCAUGAUUGUGGGGUACGUACAAGUGUAUUUAUAUUUUUAGUCUUUGUCAGAAUGUUUAGUUUGCAACAAUUGAUUUUUGUAAAUGUCAGUAGAUGCAUCCACAUUUAUAGAUCAAACCAACAAUUAGUUUUGUGUUAAUGUUUGGAAUAACUUAUUAUAUAUCCAUGUUUUCAUCAAUAAAUUAUCCAUAUUUAUAAUCUAGCUUCUUUGGAUCAGCACUUUCUUCUUUCUCAUUUAGUACCUGUAAGCAGGGAUGAUAAUAAGAAUAAAUAAAUGUUGCAACUCAGAGCAGGAUUAGGUGAAGACCGAAGACUGUGUGGUCAUAAUGGGAUGUUCUGGACUCUAGAUAGUCUCAAACUUAAUUUGGUUCUAGCUAGACUGGAAGGUUCACUGUUUCAGUUUAAUGUUUCUUUGUUAAUUAUCAUUAACUUUUGUUUUAGGUAAUGCAAGUGUAUUAGGCAUGCAGGUUUAUGUCAGUCUGCAGGUUGUUUGUUCACUGGGCUGUUCAUCUUCUGAAGUUCUCUGACUCACCUUUUCAGUUUGUGUGACCUCAUUUUUCUAGGGGAUGGCACUAUGAUACUCAUAUACCAGUUAAUGCUAGGUUCGUUGGUCACUUGACACAACUUUUGACUUGCGGAACCUGAACAAGCGGAUGAGCCCGAAGAAGAACGGGAAUCUAUGCAGCAUUGGCGCCCACAACAGGAGGGUUCGCUCAAGUGCAACAAACAAGGACAAGAGUGUCUGGGGUGGUUCUCUGAAACGACCUAGGUCUCUUUGUUGGAGCACGGGUGAGAGGUGGUACCCCCAUGGCUUUGAUGCAUUGACCUGAAAGCUUUUGGCUUGCGGGGAUGGUGCUGCUCUAGCGUGAGACAAGGGGGUGCUGCAACUUAUCCUGGAGAGCGAUAGCCAAGAGUUUGUGUAAGUUAUGGAAGGAGGACGCCAACCAACAAUCAUGGAUUGCGACAGUCAUCAGGGAAACUCAGAGAGGUUAGCUCAUGUUUUGUAGGUUUUUCUAUGAUGUAUACAAGUCGCUUUUGUAACUGAGUUGCUCAUGUGUAAUGUGUUAGCUAAGCAAGUCUUGUAACUGAGUUGCUCAUGUGUUAGCUAAGCAAGUUUCAAGGCACGCAGUAUUGCCCAUAUGACAUGCAUUAAUAUUUACAUAUAUACUUGAACCUAUGUAUAGUAUUACACAUAUGACUGUUAAUUUUACAAACUUUGUUUUUUAUUAAA